ensembl:lncRNA
UUAUAAUAACCCACUGUAGGGAGUUUAACAGGGUGACCACCUGGGGUUGAAAGCUUUGUUUCCAAUUGUCUCUCUGUCCUGAUAAUGAUUGUCGUGAAACCUGCUUGCUGGAUGCACCGCAAAACAGCCCUUGGCCCCCCAGGUGGCUGAAGCCUGCCCUGUUCAGUGUGUCCAUUCUCCAGCACUGAAGACUCCGGCCCCCAGGUGGCUGAAGCCUGCCCUGUUCAGUGUGGCCAUUCUCCAGCACUGAAGACUCCGGCCCCCAGGUGGCUGAAGCCUGCCCUGUUCAGUGUGGCCAUUCUCCAGCACUGAAGACUCCGGCCCCCAGGUGGCUGAAGCCUGCCCUGUUCAGUGUGGCCAUUCUCCAGCACUGAAGACUCCGGCCCCCAGGUGGCUGAAGCCUGCCCUGUUCAGUGUGGCCAUUCUCCAGCACUGAAGACUCCGGCCCCCAGGUGGCUGAAGCCUGCGAUGUUCUGUGUGGCCAUUCUCCAGCACUGUAAAAAGGUGUAAAGGCUGAAAGGAACAAAGUAAGCGUAUUGCAGUGUCUUACCGUUAAAAUGAGCUACUGCAGCAGUUUCAUGGUACCGGUCUUCAGUUCUGUUCCAGUGAUGUGCCCUCCAGUUGGCCCAUGACGCAGUUUCAACGUGUAGGUGAUGUUCCGCACUCACGGCUAAGGGGGAAAACCUUUGUGCAAGCAGGUAAAUGUGUAGUUUCACAUGCAACGGUUCCUGAAAUACUGCCGCGCACAUACACGCACGCACGCACACACACUCUUGAAGCCACAAACCAAAACUAAGCUCAAGCACUUGACAGUGUUUUUUUGAUUUUCGU